CCUACGGGGGGCAGCAGUAGGGAAUAUUGCUCAAUGGGGGAAACGCUGAAGCAGCAAAGCCGCGUGGAGGAUGACGGUUUUCGGAGUGUAAACUCCUUUUGUUAGAGGAGAUAAUGACGGUAUCUAACGAAUAAGCAUCGGCUAACUCCGUGCCAGCAGCCGCGGUAAUGCGGAGGAUGCGAGCGUUAUCCGGAUUUAUUGGGUUUAAAGGGUGCGCAGGCGGAAGAUCAAGUCAGCGGUAAAAUUUAGAGGCUCAACCUCUUCGAGCCGUUGAUACUGGUUGUCUCGAGUGCGGGAGAAGUAGGCGGAAUGCGUGGUGUAGCGGUGAAAUGCAUAGAUAUCACGCAGAACUCCGAUUGCGAAGGCAGCAUACCGGCGCUCAACUGACGCUGAUGCACGAGAGUGUGGGUAUCGAACAGGAUUAGAUACCCCGGUAGUC
rnacentral:rRNA from 1 species